AGAUGGUACGAUAAUUAAGAGUGGAAGAUGAAAAAUAUCGUAACCCAAAAGAUCCUUGUGUUGGGAUUGAAAUCGAGCAUGUUAGGGAACGAGAAUCGUCUAAUUCCAAGUGCUAUGGGCGCAGAGUACACCAUCCGCCUACCUAAAGAAAUCAAUCCUAAUCUUACAAGUAAAUGUGGGAGGCGCCCACGAGAAAGAAAAAAUAGGAUAAAAGUAAUGCAUACACGUAUGAGAUGGUUUCUUUUGAGGGGAAGGAUUAUAAUACCAUCAAAUGCAGGUGAAAGUUCUAGGGUGAUAUCCCCCCCUAAGAUGCAAGCGCAAUAUAUAAACAUAAGUGAAUGAAAGAAAAUAAACACAUUAUUCAUCAUAUACACGGAUAUCGAGACGAUUGCGCGUAUGAAUAUGCCAAAAACCCUAAAAAGGAAAAAUGCGACCUAAAACCUCCAAAUGUGAUAUGUAGAAAAGGUUAGAAAAAGAAAAUGAUUGAUUAAAUCAAAUGCUCGAACUCUCUAAAAAGUUCCCAGUGGAGUCGUCAAGCUGUCGCGCCCCAUUUUUAAUGAAAAAUGAAAAUUUACGAGUUUAUAUAAAAUUAAUUUUUGAUUAAUUUUGAUUGAAAAAUGAGUUUUUGAUUUGUAGAGAAUUAAUUAAAAAAAAUGGCCUAAAAUGGGGUUUAAAAUGCGACAAUUUUGGCUCAAAAUAAUAGUUUAAAAAGGAUUUUUAAUAAAAAAUAGUAGUCGCCACUUGGUAUUGAGUUAAGGUGUACCAAAUUACCUACAAUGAAUUUUAAAUCAAAAAAUAGCUAGAAUCCUUUUUAAACGACUCCAAGUCUACGAAAACUAAGAGAAAAGGGGUCACGGUUGAACAAAGGGAAGGCAAAGAUAAAAUCCAAGGCACCUUUUCAAUCUAACUAAGGUUAGUUGCGUGAUUUAGUCAAAAAUUUUAUUAUUUAACCUAAAAUUUAUCACAAUUGGAUGUCAUAUAUGGAUGCAAAAACCUAAACCUAAGAGGAUAUCGAGGGAGGGUCGGAAUAUCUCUUCAAAGGUUAAUUGGUGCAAAUCACAUUAAUUGUGAUGCCCAAGUUGACUCUUUGAAGAGGUCACAAAUAUGCAAAAAUAUGAGACUCGAUGGAAAGAAAGAAAAUAAUAAUUUAUACAAAUAUACAUGACCUAAAGGAAUGUAUCAUAAUGGGUGCGGGGGGCUAUAAUUCGUCACUCAAUUUUCCUUUUUAUAAAGGGAAUACGAGCGUGUUAAGGCUAAGAAGCCAUACUCGUCCAAAUCCCAUAUAUAAAGGGCUAUUUUCUAAUCAACCAAAUGAUCUAACCUAUUUUUAAUUUUCCUUAAAUGAAAAUGUAAUUCUAAUGUCAUGUCUCACACGUAGGGAUAAGGGAUAUAUAC
rnacentral:lncRNA from 1 species